rnacentral:rRNA from 1 species
UACAGAGGAUGCAAGCGUUAUCCGGAAUGAUUGGGCGUAAAGCGUCUGUAGGUGGCUUUUUAAGUCCGCCGUCAAAUCCCAGGGCUCAACUCUGGACAGGCGGUGGAAACUACCAAGCUGGAGUACGGUAGGGGCAGAGGGAAUUUCCGGUGGAGCGGUGAAAUGCGUAGAGAUCGGGAGGAACACCGGUGGCGAAGGCGGUUCUCUGGGCCUUACCUGACACUGAGGAGCGAAAGCGUGGGGAGCGAACAGG